GACGAACGCUGGCGGCGUGCUUAACACAUGCAAGUCGAACGAUGAAGCCGGAGCUUGCUCUGGUGAAUUAGUGGCGAACGGGUGAGUAACACGUGAGUAGCCUGCCCUUGACUCUGGGAUAACUGCGGGAAACUGUAGCUAAUACCGGAUACGACCCUCGGAGGCAUCUCCUGGGGGUGGAAAGAAUUUCGGUCAAGGAUGGACUCGGGGCCUAUCAGCUAGUUGGUGAGGUAAAGGCUCACCAAGGCGACGACGGGUAGCCGGCCUGAGAGGGUGACCGGCCACACUGGGACUGAGACACGGCCCAGACUCCUACGGGAGGCAGCAGUGGGGAAUAUUGCACAAUGGGCGCAAGCCUGAUGCAGCAACGCCGCGUGAGGGAUGACGGCCUUCGGGUUGUAAACCUCUUUUAGCAGGGAAGAAGCGAAAGUGACGGUACCUGCAGAAAAAGCACCGGCUAACUACGUGCCAGCAGCCGCCGUAA
rnacentral:rRNA from 1 species